rnacentral:rRNA from 1 species
AUACGGAGGGUGCAAGCGUUAAUCGGAAUUACUGGGCGUAAAGCGUACGUAGGCGGUCCGUUAAGUUAGAUGUGAAAGCCCCGGGCUUAACCUGGGAACUGCAUUUAAAACUGGCGGACUAGAGUUGAGUAGAGGGGAGUGGAAUUUCAGGUGUAGCUGUGAAAUGCGUAGAGAUCUGAAGGAACACCAGUGGCGAAGGCGACUCCCUGGACUCGAACUGACGCUGAGGUACGAAAGCGUGGGUAGCAAACGGGAUUAGAAACCCCAGUAGUCC